rfam:Roseofilum reptotaenium AO1-A Rreptotaenium_AO1_contig_28_len_166133_cov_422.017, whole genome shotgun sequence.
GGAGAGGUGGCUGAGUGGUCGAAAGCGGCAGAUUGCUAAUCUGUUGAAGGUAUUAAUACCUUCCGAGGGUUCAAAUCCCUCUCUCUCCG